rnacentral:pre_miRNA from 1 species
GGCGGGGGGGGGGGUGUCCCUAAGCCUGGAUUGCAAGAGGGCUCAGGCCAGGCUGAGGGACCCCACUGGUGCAUU